rnacentral:rRNA from 1 species
AUGAACGCUGGCGGCGUGCCUAAUACAUGCAAGUCGAGCGAACAGAUGAGGAGCUUGCUCCUCUGACGUUAGCGGCGGACGGGUGAGUAACACGUGGAUAACCUACCUAUAAGACUGGGAUAACUUCGGGAAACCGGAGCUAAUACCGGAUAAUAUAUUGAACCGCAUGGUUCAAUAGUGAAAGACGGUUUUGCUGUCACUUAUAGAUGGAUCCGCGCCGCAUUAGCUAGUUGGUAAGGUAACGGCUUACCAAGGCAACGAUGCGUAGCCGACCUGAGAGGGUGAUCGGCCACACUGGAACUGAGACCCGGUCCAGACUCCUACGGGAGGCAGCAGUAGGGAAUCUUCCGCAAUGGGCGAAAGCCUGACGGAGCAACGCCGCGUGAGUGAUGAAGGUCUUCGGAUCGUAAAACUCUGUUAUUAGGGAAGAACAAAUGUGUAAGUAACUAUGCACGUCUUGACGGUACCUAAUCAGAAAGCCACGGCUAACUACGUG